UAAUCUUGGUGGUAUGGGCUCCU
rnacentral:siRNA from 1 species